rnacentral:lncRNA from 10 species
CUGCGUCGCUCACGCUGGGAGCUGUAGACCGGAGCUGUUCCUAUUCGGCCAUCUUGGCUCCUCCCUAUUUUUUUUCUUUUAAAUAACAAUUUCCUGGACACAUAUCAGCCAAACUAAAGAGUAACAACCAAAGUAAACUUGUAGGUGUGAGACUGAAGUUUUGUUGUUGCUUUUUUUUUUUUUUUGAGACGGAGUCUUGCUCAGUUGCCCAGGAUGCAGUGGCGGGAUCUCGGCUCACUGCAAGCUCCGCCUCCCGGGCUCACGCCAUUCUCCUGCCUCAGCCUCCUGAGCAGCUGGGACUACAGUUGCCCGCCACUAUGCCCGGCUAAUUUUGUUUGUAUUUUUAGUAGAAAUGGGGUUUCACCGUGUUAGCCAGGAUGGUCUCGGUCUCCUGACCUCGUGAUCUGCCCGUCUCGGCCUCCCAAAGUGCUGGGAUUACAGGCGUGAGCCACUGCUCCCAGCCUGUUGUUGCUUCUUUAAUGGAUCACAAAUGCUAGCUUUCAUAUGGAUUUCAAGCUGGGUGAAAUGACUUUUUUUGCUUGUAAAGAAGAAAUGAUGAUGGAGGUCUCAUCAGGAAGUGAUGCAGAAGACUGGGACAGACGGGGGUUUCACCAUGUUGGCCAGGAUGGUCUCAAACUCCUAACCUCGCGAUCCACCCACCUCGGCCUCCCAAAGUGCUAGGAUUACAGGCGUGAGGCACUGCACCCAGCCCAUCAUAAGUAUUUUCAUGUAUCAUCAUGUAUUUUAGAAAAUGGUAUUAUUGACUAUAUAUCAGUUCAUUGUGUGCACACAUUUUAUUUAAUUAAUUUGCUCUUUUCAGUUAUUUAGUUUUCUUUUUUUGUUAUUAUAAAUUUCAUAGUAAUAUAUGUCCUUAUACAUAAAUCUGAGUAUGAAUCUAGGAUUAUUUACUUAAAAUGAAUUUCCAGACACAAAUUGUGGGGUUAAAGUGGGAGGAGCAUUUUUAAAGCUUUUGAUAUAUACCGCUAAAUUGUCUUAUAGGAAUGUAUAAAUUAUGAAACAACCAGCUGUCCAUGUGAGACCAUGCAUUUCCUUAUCCAAAUGAAGUUAAAGAAAUUAUUUGUCAGCUUUUUUGGUGGUAUGUGGUAACUCCUUUUCCUGAUUUGAAUGUUUUUCUAGUACUAGUGACUUUUUACAGGUUUUUCUUAUGUUUGUUGGUUGAGUUUUUUUUUUUAAUGUCUAUGCCUAUCUUAGUAUCUAUGCCUAUUUUAAUUUUUUAAUGUCUAUGUACUUUCUUUUGGAGCAUGUUGUAUGAUAUUUUAUAAAUAAAAGGUGUUAACUCUGUCAUUAUAGUGUAAAUAUAUUUCCCAAUAUGUUUUUAAAUUUUCAUUUAUGAUAUAUAGAAAUUUUAACUUUUAUAUAUUAAAAAUAUCUAUAUUUAAAUGACUUUGUCCAGAUGUAGUGACUCAUGCCUGUAAUCACAGAAUUUUGAGAGGCUAUGUCAAGAGGAUUGCUUGAGGCCAGGAGUUCCUGGCCAGCCUGGACGACACAGUGAGACCCCUAUCUCUAAAAAAGUUUUUUUUCAAACAAUCCUGCCACCUCAGCUUCCUAAAGUGCUGGGAUUACAGGCAUGAACCAUUGAGCCCAGGUUCUUUGUAAUAUCUUCCUCCACGUUUUUACGUAUCAAUCCUGCAUUCAAACAUUUACUCAUUCUGAAACAAAUUUUAGUAUAUGUUAUAAGGUAUUGAUCCAAAUUUUUACGUUUAUAAAUAGUUAACAUCUCCAAACCAUUUAUUGAUAUUAAUUUCACCUUCAUCAUAUUGUAAAUUAUAGUUUUGAUUUUCCUUUUUGACAAUGAAUUAUCUAAGAGGAUACUUUAGAAUUUUCAAACUUAAUAAAAAACUUUUGCAUUCAAAGACUGUAUUGUCUGUAAUUUCUAUAUUUUGUUACUUUUUGAGUGUCUAUUAUAAUCAAAUAUAAUAGACUGAACUUAAGUUUAGUCAAUGUUCAAUAUAGUUUUACAAUGAAGGUUUAUACUGCAGCUACGUGGGAUAAAGAUAUACAAUGAUUCAUUUAAUUCUAUUUAUUUUGUUGUUUAACUUAUCUGUGAUAAUAAUUCUAAUACUUAUUUUUUAAAUGGUUAAGUUUAACAAACUUUAAAUAAUUACUUGGUAAGAUUUUCAUUUGGGGAUAAUGUCCAAGGUUCUUGCUAGUCUAAUGUACCUUAGUAGCACUUUGUUCAUUUUCAUGGUGUCCACAAAUUAAACUAUAGUAAAAUGUGUGU